GGGUUGGAAGAGACCUUUAGAACAGCAGGUUGUUAUGCCAACCGGGUGUCUGCACUAAGUUCGGUAUCAAAAUGGUGACCUCCCGGGAGCAGGGGGCCACCAGGUUGCCUAAGGAUGAGUGAACUGGCCCAGAUCAGAAAGGGAGCAGGUCAGAAUUCCCGCACCAACUGGUAGUGUGACUGUGCCUGGGCAAUAUACAAGAU
ensembl:misc_RNA Metazoa_SRP Metazoan signal recognition particle RNA